UCCAACGUGAGCUUCUAAAAUUUAUUAUCUUUGAUCAAUUUCUUCACUGGAUGGAUGGGAUAAAACCUGGCAUGUGAUGAGGUUAUGGCAUUUGUGCCAUUUUUGGUAAUUUCCAUUGUACUGUGACACUGAAUACCUUUGCUGCUAUAUAAUGUUUAAGUUUGCUUAGACACAGACCUAAAAUGAGAGAUAAUUUACUUAACUGUUCUGAGAAAAUUUGCCAAAUGGGUAAGCCAUGAUUAGUUUUGAAAAAAGCGCAGAUUUAGUACUACAGUGACUCAUAACAAUGAGCAAAAAAAUGUCAUGAAAGUAUUUUAAACUGCAUUUUAUCAUAGGGAAAUAUAAAAUCACCUUAAAUAGCUGUGUCUGUACUUGACCUUCCAGCACCCAGGUACUUCUAGGCUGGCUCUUGGGUAUUACACCAAAGCAGGAUUUUAACCUUUUCUCCUAAAGGAAUCCACAGCAAGGAAAUACGACCCUUUUUGAAUAUAAAAAACCUCAAACCAGCUGUUAUUCUUUAGGGCCCUUAAAAACAUCUUUCCUCUUGGGAAUAGUUUUAUGAUGGAGCAAUUGCAGUGAUUACAAAGUACUUCACAAUUAAAGAAUUUCACUCCUGAGGCAACUUCAUUUUAUGUCAUAAAGUUAGUUUAUAUUUCUAUGUCUGAAAAGUAUUCAUAUUUAAAUUACUUUAUAUUAUUAUACUAGUUUAUUAUUUAUUUUCUUUAUUAUUAUUAUAUUAAUUUAUAUUCCUAGUUUACUAAUUAGGGAAAAGAGGUGAGGAAACACUUGAAAAUCACAUAAAUUCCAAACACAAACCAAAUCUCAGCCCCAAAGAUCUCUUUUCCAGUUUCCUGGUCCUGGGCCACCAUAGCCAAGCUGGAGGGAGCCCAGAAGCCCUGGACCAGCAGCAUUGCUGGAGAGAGGAACAGGAUGGGAGCUGCACACUCAGUCUGUGCCAGGAUGAAGCCCAUGGCUUGCCCAGCCAUUGAAGUUGCAGCACCAUGGCACAGCUGAGCAUGGGAAUAGUGUUCAGUACUCUGAGAGAAGCUCAUGUUCAAAAGGGAGGCAGAUGUCAAAAUGUGCCAUGGGGAUGUCACCAAGCUGCUGGAACUGGCCACAGGCAGGCAGGUCAGGAAUGCCACCAUGGGGUUGGCAGCAUCACAUCCAAGAGGAAAAGUGGCAGGAGUCUGGGUGAAGGACAAGAACGUCUCUCUGCUGACAUCCCAGGGCCACUGAGAUUGCUGGGACUCCUGCUCCUGAGUUCAGUAAAGCUGGGAUUUCACCCAGCUCCUUUUGUUUGGUUUGGAAAUGAGGAUUUUAAAGGCCACCCCUAGGCCAGGUCUCCUGUGCUGAUGUACAAGAAACACUCCCUAAACCUGGACUCUUGCUGCCUCCUCCUGUUUUGGCCCUAAUUCCAGAAAGCACUUAAUAUAUCCAUAAAUACAUUUCUCACGGGCAAAGCUCUUGAGCAAACACCUUGUUUAAAGAUUUGCUUAUCUCUAAUUCCUUGGUGAAGAAGUAAGGUAUUACUCCAAAGGAGUAAAAAGAGAUAAUCAAGCUGUAAAUCCUCACAGUUUCUAUCAUUUAUAACCAGAGCUUAGUCAUCUUUUGACCAGUGACGCACAGCACAGAUUUCUUGCUGAAUAAAAUUGUAGAAGCACAGCCAGUUUUUCACAGAGCUUGGAACUGUGCCCUUUGUGGGGUUUUAUGAAUGCAGAGCUCAAGGUCCAUAGUAUGGCACGGAUAACCUAAUGCAAGGUCAUGUUUUGUUGGAAUAACAGUGGCUAAAUCCUCCACAACAAUGAUGGGGGGGUCCAGCCCAACCUGGAGAUUUUAUGGAAUUUCACAGGGAUUUGGCUGUGCAGAACAAGUUCAAAUUGUGAGAACAAUAAAGGCAAUUGUAAAACACUGAAGAUUGGAACUGUAAAGGUCAGAGCCUGAUCUGCACUCCCCCAAUUCUCACAUGUAUUUAGAUCUGAGAUACCCUGUGCAUUUAGCUUGGCGCUCUCCAGUUCAGCAAGGUGGAAGAAAAUCAUCUUUACCUUUGGAAAAUUCCAUCACAGGGCUAUGUUUUCCUCCUAAAACUCCAGAAUUUCAUGUCAUGAAUGAUGCAUAUUCUGUCUCAAAGGAAAUCACCCCAGAAAAAAACAUUCCCCAUGGUCUUAACUUUAGGCAGAUGCUGCUGAACCAGCAUGGGGGUGGGUAAAAGUGCAUUUCCCAGGUAAACUGGACAUUCACUUCUGCACAUACACACACACACAAAGAGAACAAAACCAUGAGAAAUUUUCCUUUCCAGCCUGCCAGAGUGAAGCCAGAUUCCACACAGGACUCUCAGAGCACUCUUUCCUCCCAUCCCCAAGCACACUGGAUUGAGCACUCAGCCAGGAUCUGGAAGGAACUUAUAUUCAGUUUAGUAGUCAGUGGAAGUGCUGAGAGCUCCUUGCUAUGCAAAUUUAAGAAAGUCCAAGAAGUCCAUUGAGGUCAGGUGUUUUAUAGCUCCUGCUCCCUUUUAUGGAGUUUUACUCUUAAAAGUGAAGUGACUUGUUAAGUUUUUGUAUUGCCUAAACCCAGAAGUGGAGAAUAUUUUGAUUCAUCCAAAGAGACUCUCUGAAAGCCAUCAAUGCUCAGGAUGAAAAUGAAUCAAAACAAUCAACCUCCUGAGAUUAGUCAGAAUUAGCUCUUUUCCUGUACUGGUCUGUAUGAAAUAAUUCCUUCACCUUUGACCAGGGAGAAAAAAACUUAAAAAGCACAAAAUAAGCAAUAAAAAUGACCAUUAAAAAUUUCCUCAGGAAAUCUAUUUAAAUGCUGAUGUCAUUUUCUCCAGUCACCACUUCAAUUUUACUCUGUGUUAAACCAGAAAGGCACCAUCAGAGUCAUGAGGAGGGGAAGGUUUGGCCAGGCAACAGCAGGAACAUGGAAUACACAUCCAAGGGGGAAUGUACAUGCAAGGGGUGCCAGGAAGACCCUGUUCUAAAAUGAAGAAGAAAUCUGAGGAAAGAGGUGUCUCCCUACUCUGGAAUUUGAGGUGGAUCCUGGGAAAUGAAGCACAGAAUGGUUUGGAUUGGGAGGAACCUUGGAGAUGUUCUUGUUCCAACCCCUCUGCCAUGGGCACUCAGCAAGUCUUGCUGCAGAUGUCCAGGUUUGGAGAAGCUCAUGGAAGUGUCGAAUUUAAACAGAGGUUUAACAGCCCAGCAGGUGAGGGGCCACAGAAAAUCCACUCAGGAUCAUGACUCUAUGAUGGAGUGAAGAAGAGUCCUCUAAUUCAAGGCACAGAGUGGUGAGUGCCAGUUUGUUGGGAAGCCAAGGGAAACAGGAGAUGUGGCCUCAUAAAUCUGGUUAUUCUUCCAAAAAUAUACAGCAGGAACAUGAGAUGCUACUGGGAACACACACAGUACAGCACAGUGUUCAGCAAAGCAUGGUAACCUAAUUUCCGUGUUACAUGAGAGAAGAAAACCCUGACUCAUAUUUUAUGAAAAUUGUAAUGGUGAAUCAGCAAAUUACUUCUGUUUAUCUCCACCAACGUCAGCACUCUGAAGUCUGGAGCAACCUGAACUAAUCCCAGGGCACUUUUAAAUAGAAUAUGUUCAGACCAGCUGAAGCUGGGCUAAAUGGGAACAAGCAGGAAUUCGUCAUCAAUGGACAGCUGGGAAGCUCAGAAAAUUCUGUUUCCUGCCUGUCCAGUCAGAAGGAAAGAGAAGCUCUGUGUGUGCCCUUCACCUCUGACUCCCAUAUCAGAUCCUAAAUAAAAAAUGUUUACCCUUCAGAAAUGUGUGGCCGGUAUAACAAGAUGUCCCUGGAUGGCAAAUGCUGGUGGCUUUGUAUAUGUGCCUGUUUACACAUAUCCCUGUGGUGGUAGGAAGAAAAUAAAACUGCACAGAAAUCUAUAACCUGAUCUGGUUUGUUUAGCUGCUAAUCCAAUCUUCUCUCCUAGUAGAGCUCCAAUAAUUUGAUUGUGUUGUGUAGGGCACUCUGGAGCACCUGAGGGAUGAGAAUGAAAUACUGUAGAUGAGCAGAGAAACUGCUGAAAUGCCUUCCUGCAUCAGUGCUCCGAGUACAUCAUGAGAUUGCUGCUGCUCACCCUCAGAG